UCGAAAUAUAGCAAAUUACAUUAAAGGAUAAACGACACUUAAUUACGCACUAAUUACCGAGACAAAAUCACCAAAUUGGGGGAUUGCGCGCAUAGCGUGCGGGCCAGCAACUAGUUAAAAAACAAAAUACGAAGAACAUUGUCUACCUGUUGAAAUAACACGGUUUUUUUCACUCACCCAGUAAAAAAAAAUUACACUCUCUGAAAAAACCAUUGAAGUACUCUAAAAACCCUAAUAGAUUACGGCCAAAAAUACCAUAAUUGGGCAUCUAAAAUUUGUGAAGAUUGUUAAAGAACAUGAUAUUGUGCAACAAGAAGAACAAGAUGAUGAGAAAUUAAUAGUAUAUCUUGAAAAGAAGAAAGGUAAAACUAAGAAGAAUGUUGAAGGAACAAGUAGUACAGUGGUUCAAGAUCCAAUUGUGGACCCUGAGAUGUUGAAAGCCAUUAACAAAGAUAUUGCUAUUACCAAAUCUGAGGAUGAUGGUGAAGUACUAAAGCAAUCUGGUUUAGUAGAGCCUAAUACUGAGGAUGAAACAAAGCGAGACAAAGAACAUCGGGAUGAUGAUGGGCCUAAAAAGACGCCUUACUGAUUUAAACAAAUUUCAAGGAAAAAAGGUAAAAAGAAGGGUAAGUUCAAGAUAAAGAUGCGGAAGGUGUAGCUGAUCAAUCAGAAGCACAAUCAAUUGUUUAGUUUCUACAGGUGGUUGCAGUAUAGAAUCAAAAAAGAUUAAAGAAAGACAUGAAAGGAGUUACACAAAAAGUAGUACCCUUAGAUGAUGAUAGUGGUGAUGAAGGAACUAGAAUAAAGCUGACAACGAGGCAAACUAUUAUGCCAUUGAUGCACUUGGUCCAGCAAUUGGCUAACCAAGCUGAUAAGCUUCAAGCUAUAAAGGAUAUGGGUUUUGGUGUAUUCUUGCAUUUGGAUUUUCCCCACAAUUAUCCUGAAUUUUCAGCACAACUUGUAUCGAAUUUUGAUGCUGUAGGAAUGAAAAUAGAUUUGGAUAGAAAUAGAUCACUUGAUGUAAAAGUUGCUGAUGUGCACAAAGUAUAUGGAAUACCAAGUAGAGGAAAGAAAAUUGUAGAUGCAAAGGAUGGCAAUGCGGAUCAUAAGGAGGUGUUACAUAGUUACAAGAGAUACCAGGAGGAGUACUCCCAAAUAAUGUGAACAAACUUGUGAGCAAAUUAGCACCUGCUGAAACUCCUCUUGAUAAUUAUUGGAAGAGAAGUUUUUUGGUAUUGGUUGUAAACUGUUGCAUCAAGAGUAUUAAAAAUCAACAACCUUAUCUCACGUUUUUACACAAUGUGAUUGAUGUAAAUCGCAUUUCUGAAUAUGAAUGGUGUAGUUACACUAUAAAGAGCUUGAUUGUGUGGGUUCUUUGUUGCAAAAAAGGUGUUACUAGGUUUUUCUGUGGGCCCUUACCAUUUCUUUGGGUGUGCUACUUUGAUCGGCUUCAAAAGAUGACUUUGGAGCAAAGAAGGGACUUCACUCUCAUUAAGGUCUGGACUAUUGAUCUUAUUAAGGAUAGAAUAGACCUUGAAUUGAGGUUAGACUUUGGUCUUGGUACUUUGUUGGACAGAGUGCAACCACCAAUUGUUGUGGACAUCUCAAUUCCACAACAUCUAUUAGGUAUGAACCAAGAGUUGGUGGUGGUACCGGACCAACCAAAGAUAAGGCAACAACAGGAGGAAGAGCAACUGGAUGAAAGUAAUGUAAACGAACAAUGUGGGCAAGAUCAAGCACAUCAUCAGCGCAAAACAAGAGAGCAUCAAAAACCUCAAGGAGAGCAACAACAAAAAGAACAUCAAAAUGGUGGAGAAUAUCAAAAACAUGAGAAAAAAGUCCCAUCAAAUGUACAGCCUCUCCAAUAUCUUGAAAAUAGGUGAGAGGUUCCAUACAACCCCGUUAGUUGAUGGGAACACUAUGUACAAUCUCACAACCAUGUGGUCCAAGUGUGCCGGAGUCAAUUUGCCAAAUGUAGUACAACAACAUGCACAAAGUCAACAAGCCGUGAGAGCAUCAAUACUUAGUCAAAAUAUUGACUUCUUUGAAUUAGAUUGGUUUGGGGACAUGAUUGACGAUAUCAUGAAGAAUGUGAUGUCUAGUAUUCAAGACAAUCCAUCAAAAUCUGUUUCACCUAUCCAACCCCUUAUUUUCAGUCACGAGCUCACACCGCCACAUGCUCAUGUUCAUGUUAAUGAACUUCCAUUUGAUUUAGAUUUACCGGUUGGGGUAGACAGUACAAAAGUCAGCAAAAUUGAUAAGGAAGAAGAUGAGGAUCCUUUGGAAAAAGAAGAUAUGGGGGUGAUGUAUUCGAAAGUGAAAAAAGUGUGGGUGCUGUAAAUGUGGAAAAGCUUGAUGGGAAAAAAGGACAAAAAAGAAAGGAAAAAAUGGAGGAAAAGAGUGUUUCCCCUAAAAAUACAAAGAGAAUUAGGAAGGUGGGAUAGGUUUUCAAGUCUCCUUUCCUGGUGAAGUACUCUCAUUUGAUAGAUUGAACUGAAGAGUUUAAGAAUGCUUUCCUAGAAUAUGUUUAUUCAAGUGAACUUGAUAAAGAUGAGCCUUUAUAUGAUGAUGGACAUUCAAUUAUGACAAGAGAAAAUGUUAAAACACUUGGUGACAAUGUCUACAUCUACAACAUCAUUGAUGCUUGGAGUCUCAUCCUAAAUGCAAGGAAUGCAGUUGAUGACAAAAAGAGAUUGUUCUUCCCGAACGAAGCCUUCUUUUGAUCUUUUUCCCCGUGCAUGCACAUGAUCACUUUUAUGUCAUGGUUAUAAACACAAAGUCAAAGUGUUUUGAAUACUUGAUAACAGACCGCUAGUAGAGGGUGUUCCAUUUGAGAAAAAGUAUCAUGACUUUCCAGAGAAACUAGAUAGGGGAAAAAAUGCCGACAUAUACGGUCAAAUUGGUUGAAAUGCCAUGGAGAACUUUAAGCAACGAUAUUGAUUGCGGCAUAUACACAAUGCGCCACAUGGAGACGUACUUUGGAAAGCGAAGAUGGAAUUGUGGCCUUCAAGCUGAUAAUGUAAGAUAUAUAUUAAUGUGUCAUGCAAUUUUAUUAUAUUUAUGGACACUAUUUUUUUUUUGUUAUUAAUUUUUGUGUAAUAGUUUGAUGCGUUGAAGAGUCUAAGGAUGCGGUAUACAUAUGAGCUUAUUGUAGACGAUCUCAAUAAAUACAAGGCAGAUGUUAGCGUCAAGGCUAGGAAAUAUUACAGUGCAAUAAGAAAAAAUUAGUGAUUGUUGUGUUUCUUACAUCUGACAAUUGAUAGUGUUUUUUGGGGUUCAAUUCUAACUUAUUUAUGUACUUGAAUUCGGGUUGUUGCAACUAUUAAUCUGAAAUUGCAUUCUAUAUUUGAAGAAAUGAUGAUUUUGGUUCUUUUAA